rnacentral:tRNA from 2 species
GGGCGAUUAGCUCAGUUGGUUAGAGCACUACCUUCACACGGUAGGGGUCUUGGGUUCGAAUCCCGAAUCGCCCACCA